UACGUAGGGUGCAAGCGUUGUCCGGAAUUAUUGGGCGUAAAGAGCUCGUAGGCGGUAUGUUGCGUCGGCUGUGAAAACCCGGGGCUCAACCCCGGGCCUGCAGCCGAUACGGGCAGACUAGAGUUCGGCAGGGGAGACUGGAAUUCCUGGUGUAGCGGUGAAAUGCGCAGAUAUCAGGAGGAACACCGGUGGCGAAGGCGGGUCUCUGGGCCGAUACUGACGCUGAGGAGCGAAAGCGUGGGGAGCGAACAGG
rnacentral:rRNA from 1 species